GAUGAAGAACGUAGCGAAAUGCGAUAGGUAAUGUGAAUUGCAGAAUUCAGUGAAUCAUCGAAUCUUUGAACGCAUCUUGCGCUCCUUGGUAUUCUGAGGAGCAUGCCUGUUUGAGUGUCAUUAAAUUCUCAACUACACUGACUUUGAAUUGGUGUGGCUUGGAUUUGGGGGGAAAAUUGUUGUGGGCUUUUUGUAUAGUCUGCUCCCCUGAAAUUGAUUAGCGGUACCUUUGUGGAACUGUCUACAGGUGUGAUAAUUAUCUACAUCUUAGACAUCUGCUGGAAUGCUGCUUUCUAAACCUUACUUGUAUUGACAAUCUUGACCUCAAAUCAGGUAGGACUACCCGCUGAACUUAAGCAUAUCAAUAAGCGGAGA
rnacentral:misc_RNA from 1 species